GUGGACAUAGAAUCAGUCAUCUACAUUUUAGAUAAUUAUGAUUUUGUCAAUGUGGUAUUAGGAGGUGACUCAAAUUUGCAAUCAUAUGGAUUUGGAUUCUGCGGAAUCCACUUAGGCCAUAGCUAAUCUUGAUUAUCCUGCAAUUUCAGGAAUGAAUCACAUUCAUCAAUAUUUUAUUUGGUAGUAAUGAUUGGAAGAAAAAUGUUACUGAAAAA